rnacentral:tRNA from 4 species
CCUCUGUAGUUCAGUCGGUAGAACGGCGGACUGUUAAUCCGUAUGUCACUGGUUCGAGUCCAGUCAGAGGCA